rnacentral:rRNA from 1 species
GACGAACGCUGGCGGCGUGCUUAACACAUGCAAGUCGAACGGAAAGGCCCUGCUUUUGUGGGGUGCUCGAGUGGCGAACGGGCGAGUAACACGUGAGUAACCUGCCCUUGACUUUGGGAUAACUUCAGGAAACUGGGGCUAAUACCGGAUAGGAGCUCCUGCUGCAUGGUGGGGGUUGGAAAGUUUCGGCGGUUGGGGAUGGACUCGCGGCUUAUCAGCUUGUUGGUGGGGUAGUGGCUUACCAAGGCUUUGACGGGUAGCCGGCCUGAGAGGGUGACCGGCCACAAUGGGACUGAGAUACGGCCCAGACGCCUACGGGAGGCAGCAGUGGGGAAUAUUGCACAAUGGGCGGAAGCCUGAUGCAGCAACGCCGCGUGCGGGAUGACGGCCUUCGGGUUGUAAACCGCUUUCGCCUGUGACGAAGCGUGAGUGACGGUAAUGGGUAAAGAAGCACCGGCUAACUACGUG